UUCUCAAGAUGUAUAAUUAUUUGGUCACUACCCAGUGUAAUCCCACAAUAGUGGGGUCUGGGGAGGGUAAGAUGUACGCAGCCUUACCCCUACCUGGGUAGGGAGGCUGUUUCCGAUUGACCCUCGGCAACCCUCCUCCUUUAUCCGGGCUUGGGACCGGCAAUGUGAGCGAGCUCACACAGGCGGAGUUAAGAUGUAUAAUUAUUUGGUUUCAAUAAAUCUAUAGAUCUAUAUAUCAAAUAGCAUAGCGAUGUGCUCAGUUAUGAUAUUUAGGACUGUCAAUUUCUCACUCUGGCAUGACCUUCCGUUUUGUGUUUCUUACAAUCUCAAUCACCCCUCUGUCUCAGAAGAAAUGCAAGAUAGAUGAUAAAGUUGCAAGAUAGAAAAUAAAUAACCAGUAUCCAGAAAAGGUCUUCUUGGUACAUCCGACACUUGUACCAUAGGAACAUGUUCAUAUCUGCACAAUCUGGAUGAUAUUUGCUGUUAAAAGAAACAUAAUAACAUAAAUAUAAAGAAUAGAAUCUCCUUUUGCUGGGAAAUUAUCCAUAUGCAGGUAUUAAGAGGUGCUACAAUCAUAGUUUCCCACAAUGCUGGCACUUCAAAAAGUUUACUUAAAGUUGGCAAUUUAUAAACUUAACUUUCAUGCUGGCACUACCAAGGUGUUUGAUGAAAUGUCCAAAACAAUUAGAGCAGUUUCCUAUGCCAAUUUUUCACCUUAAGGCUUCUAUCAAGUAAGCAUCUCUCAUUUAACAAUUCCAAAGAUACAUUAUUGACAUUCACUAGAAAAAACAAUUCAAAAAUGUAUAGUAUGCAUUAUAUAUCAUUUUUGUUAAAGAAAUAUUUGUUUGAAAUGCAUUUAAUAUGAGAUCAUUAAUGUUCAAAUUGGAUCAAGUCCUAUAUCGAAAUGUAUCGCCUUUUGACUUGCAUAUGAGUAUAAAUGUAUGUAUCAUCUAACUUUGUCGUGCAUAUGCAAGCAGGUUAGGAGGAUCAGUUGACAUGAAAAGUACAUUUCAUGUGGGGAAAAUAAUACGCAAGUUCUCAAAAAGAAAAAAAGGUGAUUGUGAAGUGCUUCUUUGGGCCUUUUUUUUUUUUUUUGGCAGUAUGAGUUGCUUGACAAUUUGUAGAAUAUCAGCAGCGCGCUUCUUGGUUCUCUGUCCCUCGAGUAAUUCUCAAGGUAAGGAAAUGUAUUCUUUUUGUUUUAUUUUGGCUUCCAAAUUUGAAAGAAAAAUUUUCGUUUCUCAAAAAAAUUAAUUAAAUUAACUCUUGAAUAUGGAUAUCAUUUUCCUUGUUGAUAUUCUGAUCAAAGUUGUUUAACGAACUAAUGUAAAGAUCUUUUUUUUUUUUUAACCCUAGAAGGUUCUAGAGAUGGGUUUGCUGAGUAAGUAGUUGAACAUUUGAUUGCAUUUUUGACAAAGUAUACGAGGAUAAUAGGGUUUAAUUCAAGACAUUGAACAAGGUGGUCAAUUGAUGUGCGUUUAUUCACUGAUAAUAGGGUGAGUUGUCUUCAAGAAGUCUUAUUGGAUACAUUUUGGUUGUUGAAAUGCUAUCCCUGUUUGGGAUUUGUUACUUCCA